AUACAGUGGUGCCCCGCAAGACGAAUGCCUCGCAAGAUGAAAAACUCGCUAGACGAAAGGGUUUUUUGUUUUUUGAGCUGCUUCGCAAGACGAAUUUCCCUAUGGGCUUGCUUCGCAAGACGAAACGUCUUGCGAGUUCUUGCGAGUUUGUUUCCUUUUUCUUAAAGCCACUAAGCCGUUAAUAGCCGCUAAGCCGUUAAUAGCCGCUAAGCCACUAAUAGCCGUGCUUCGCAAGACGAAAAAACCGCAAGACGAAGAGACUCGCGGAACGG
rnacentral:lncRNA from 1 species